rnacentral:rRNA from 1 species
AGCGAUGAAGCUUCCUUCGGGAAGUGGAUUAGCGGCGGACGGGUGAGUAACACGUGGGUAACCUGCCUCAAAGUGGGGGAUAGCCUUCCGAAAGGAAGAUUAAUACCGCAUAACAUAAGAGAAUCGCAUGAUUUUCUUAUCAAAGAUUUAUUGCUUUGAGAUGGACCCGCGGCGCAUUAGCUAGUUGGUAAGGUAACGGCUUACCAAGGCAACGAUGCGUAGCCGACCUGAGAGGGUGAUCGGCCACAUUGGAACUGAGACACGGUCCAGACUCCUACGGGAGGCAGCAGUGGGGAAUAUUGCGCAAUGGGGGAAACCCUGACGCAGCAACGCCGCGUGGGUGAUGAAGGUCUUCGGAUUGUAAAGCCCUGUUUUCUGGGACGAUAAUGACGGUACCAGAGGAGGAAGCCACGGCUAACUACGUGCCAGCAGCCGCGGUAAUACGUAGGUGGCGAGCGUUGUCCGGAUUUACUGGGCGUAAAGGGUGCGUAGGCGGAUGUUUAAGUGGGAUGUGAAAUCCCCGGGCUUAACCUGGGGGCUGCAUUCCAAACUGGAUAUCUAGAGUGCAGGAGAGGAAAGCGGAAUUCCUAGUGUAGCGGUGAAAUGCGUAGAGAUUAGGAAGAACACCAGUGGCGAAGGCGGCUUUCUGGACUGUAACUGACGCUGAGGCACGAAAGCGUGGGUAGCAAACAGGAUUAGAUACCCUGGUAGUCCACGCCGUAAACGAUGGAUACUAGGUGUAGGGGGUAUCAACUCCCCCUGUGCCGCAGUUAACACAAUAAGUAUCCCGCCUGGGGAGUACGGUCGCAAGAUUAAAACUCAAAAGGAAUUGACGGGGGGCCCGCACAAGCAGCGGGAGCAUGUGGUUUAA